CGGGGUGAGUAAUGUCUGGGAAACUGCCUGAUGGGGGGGGAUAACUGCUGGAAACGGUAGCUAAUACCGCAUAACGUCGCAAGACCAAAGAGGGGGACCUUCGGGCCUCUUGCCAUCGGAUGUGCCCAGAUGGGAUUAGCUAGUAGGUGGGGUAACGGCUCACCUAGGCGACGAUCCCUAGCUGGUCUGAGAGGAUGACCAGCCACAUGGAACUGAGACACGGUCCAG
rnacentral:rRNA from 1 species